rnacentral:pre_miRNA from 13 species
UUUAGUUGAGGUAGUAGGUUGUAUAGCAAUAUUACAACAUUUUGGAGUUCUGUACAGCCUGCUAACUUUCCUAA